GACAGGAUCCCACUGUGUCACCCAGGCUGAAGUGCAGUGGCACCAUUAUAGCUCACUGCAGCCUUGAACUCUUGGGCUCAAGUGAUCCUCCUACCUCAGCCUCCCGAGUAGCUGGGACUACAAAAAUGUCAAUUGCCUACCUGAUGGCUGUGAACAACAGAAAGAAGAAACAAAGACAUACCUGUAUGUAAAGGUUGAGCUUGAAAAAAGCAAGCUACUCUUGAUGCUGAAGAAUGCAAUCCAACAGAAAGAAUGCUUAUUUCAGGUUUUAUCUGAAUCUACCUAGGGCUGAAUUUCUUAUCUAUACUUUACUAUGGAUAUUCUGCUUUGUACAGAUCUACAAUGGAUCAUUAAAGUCAAAGGACAAUUAUUUGUCUUUCUACUCCUCCCAGUACCCAAGACCUGAGAGUGAGAUAUUAAAUUCGUCCUUGGAUCUUUCAUGCAAUGUUACAGCUCUUUGGAACUUCUCACAAAGCUCCUCCUCUCCAUGGUGGAAUUCUACUCUGAGGAGAGAGAGGCUGAAAUGUUUCAGUCCCCUAUAUGAUAAGUCCAAAAUCACUGUUUCACAUAUAUGCUGACCUGAUACAUUGAGUCAUUGAUACAUGUCUUUCCACCUUCAGUAUAUUUUCUUUGACUAGCUUUAUUGCUUCCCUGUGAUGCUGAAUUUUGAGCAUGGAUGUGAAUGUCCAUAACAAAAUCAUCCUAGGUAAACUGAAUUUGGUUAUUUGAAUUUCAUAAUUGCUCUUUACUCCAAGUGUUGUGGAUUCAUGAUGCAAAUUUGCCCAUUCCC
rnacentral:lncRNA from 1 species